GUCUAAGGCGAUAGCGCCCUGAAGGCGCCCGAUCUCGUCUGAUCUCGGAAGCUAAGCAGGGUCGGGCCUGGUUAGGAUCUUGGAUGGGAGACCACCUGGGAAUCCCGGGUGCUCGAGGCU
rnacentral:rRNA from 1 species